rnacentral:rRNA from 1 species
GGUGAACGCUGGCGGUAGGCCUAACACAUGCAAGUCGAACGGCAGCACAGGAGAGCUUGCUCUCUGGGUGGCGAGUGGCGGACGGGUGAGGAAUACAUCGGAAUCUACUCUGUCGUGGGGGAUAACGUAGGGAAACUUACGCUAAUACCGCAUACGACCUACGGGUGAAAGCAGGGGACCUUCGGGCCUUGCGCGAUUGAAUGAGCCGAUGUCGGAUUAGCUAGUUGGCGGGGUAAAGGCCCACCAAGGCGACGAUCCGUAGCUGGUCUGAGGGGAUGAUCAGACACACUGGAGAUGAGACACGGUCCAGACUCCUACGGUAGGCAGCAGUGGUGAAUAUUGGACAAUGGGCGCAAGCCUGAUCCAGCCAUACCGCGUGGGUGAAGAAGGCCUUCGGGUUGUAGAGCCCUUUUGUUGGAAAGAAAUCCGGCUGGCUAAUACCCGGUUGGGAUGACGGUACCCAAAGAAUAAGCACCGGCUAACUUCGUGCCAGCCGCCGCGGUAA